CAGUCGCCGCGGGAAUACAGAGGAUGCAAGCGUUAUCCGGAAUGAUUGGGCGUAAAGCGUCUGUAGGUGGCUUUUCAAGUCCGCCGUCAAAUCCCAGGGCUCAACCCUGGACAGGCAGUGGAAACUACCAAGCUGGAGUACGGUAGGGGUAGAGGGAAUUUCCGGUGGAGUGGUAGAAUGCGUUGAGAUCGGAAAGAACACCAAUGGCGAAAGCACUCUGCUGGGCCGACACUGACACUGAGAGACGAAAGCUAGGGGAGCAAAUGGGAUUAGAUACCCCCGUAGUCCCUGUCUCUUAUAC
rnacentral:rRNA from 1 species